GACGAACGCUGGCGGCGUGCUUAACACAUGCAAGUCGAACGGUGACAGGGGAGCUUGCUCCCCUCGAUCAGUGGCGAACGGGUGAGUAACACGUGAGUAACCUGCCCCAGACUCUGGAAUAACCUCGGGAAACCGGAGCUAAUACCGGAUAUGAGACGCUUGGGCAUCCAAUGCGUCUGGAAAGAUUUAUCGGUCUGGGAUGGACUCGCGGCCUAUCAGCUAGUUGGUGAGGUAAUGGCUCACCAAGGCGACGACGGGUAGCCGGCCUGAGAGGGCGAACGGCCACACUGGAACUGAGACACGGUCCAGACUCCUACGGGAGGCAGCAGUGGGGAAUAUUGCACAAUGGGCGCAAGCCUGAUGCAGCGACGCCGCGUGGGGGAUGAAGGCCUUCGGGUUGUAAACCCCUUUCAGCAGGGAAGAAGCGAAAGUGACGGUACCUGCAGAAGAAGCGCCGGCUAACUACGUGC
rnacentral:rRNA from 1 species